GACUACAAGGGUAUCUAAUCCUGUUUGCUCCCCACGCUUUCGUGCCUCAGCGUCAGUUAAUGUCCAGUAAGCCGCCUUCGCCACUGGUGUUCCUCCUAAUAUCUACGCAUUUUACCGCUACACUAGGAAUUCCGCUUACCUCUCCAUCACUCAAGCUCUACAGUUUCAAGUGCAGCCCCGCAGUUGAGCUGCGGUAUUUCACACCUGACUUGUCUAGCCGCCUACGCACCCUUUACACCCAGUAAAUCCGGACAACGCUCGCUCCCUACGUAUUACCGCGGCUGCUGGCACGUAGUUAGCCGGAGCUUCCGCCUGUGGUACCGUCAUUAUCUUCCCACAAGACAAAAGUUUACAAUCCGAAGCCCUUCUUCCUUCACGCGGCGUUGCUGCAUCAGGGUUUCCCCCAUUGUGCAAUAUUCCCCACUGCUGCCUCCCGUAGG
rnacentral:rRNA from 1 species